rnacentral:tRNA from 1 species
GCCGGAUUGGCGGAAUGGCAGACGCGGAGCACUCAAAAUGCUUUGUCUAACGACGUGAGGGUUCGAGUCCCUCAUCCGGCACCA